rnacentral:lncRNA from 10 species
GGAAUACGAAGGGAGAAUGAAACAAAACUGCUCCGCUUAGGGAACUUGGAAAGGAAAUUGAAAAGGCAAGGCACAGGCUGGAAGAAAAUAUUUGAAAAAGAUUUAUGUGAACUUCUUUCUGGAUUAUACAAAAUAUUUUUAGAUAUUCUUACAACUCUAAAAUAAGAUAACUCCUUAAAAAUCUAAAUUCUACCAAAGGAGAGAUAAAGAUGACGAAUACAUUCAAAGAUGCUGAAAAUCACUUAUUUAUUAUUAGGAAGUUACAAGCUAAAGCAUAAUGAGAUACCACUACAACCUACUAAACUGACUAAAAUUAAUCAGACUAACCAGGUGUUGGCAAGAAACAGGGACACUGAGACUCUCACACUGCUGGAAGGAAUGUAAAAUGCUAAAACUUCUUUGGAAAUGAGUUCAGUAACUUUUUAAACAGUUGAAAAUAGACCUAUCAUGCAAACCAGCAAUCCCACUUCCAGGUAUUUAUACAAGGAAAAUGACAACAUAUGCCCACAUAAAGACUUGUGCACAAAUGACCGUAGCAGCUUUGUGAUAAUUGCUAAAAACUAGAAACUUGUCAAGUGUCCAACAGGAUCGAAUACCAUAAGAGGAAUUCUGGACUGAAGAGUUAUGAAGUCAUUUCAGACACUUCCAGACAAUUUGUGUUAAUUAAAUUCUCACUGGUUGAGUUCCAUUCUACACUGGAAGAGCAUUUUUCCUGGAAAGGCUCCUCAAAAUGGUAAUAAAGGGUAAUUCUUUUA